rnacentral:rRNA from 1 species
GCUCUGGAUAGCCCAUUCUCGUCGGCGGAAAUCUCGGAGGCUAUCAAGCGACUUCCUUCUGGAAAAUCCCCCGGUCCCGACGGAUUCACUGCUGAGUUUCUGCGUUCAUGUUGGCUCAUCAUCAAGGACGAUCUUUGCGACGUCUUUGACAAGCUCUACGCGCUAAAUGGUCAAGCCUUUCAGCGGCUUAACGAGGCAUACAUCACUCUACUGACCAAGCGGCCCGACGCCGCCUCCCUCUUUGAUUACCGGCCAAUCAGCCUCAUCCACCUGAUCGCGAAGCUAUUUGCUAAGGUUCUUUUGCUUCGGUUGGCGCCGCGUCUU